GUCUACGGCCAGGCCACCCUGAACAUGCCUGAUCCCAUCUGAUCUCGGAAGCUAAGUAGGGUCGGGCUUGGUUGGUAUCUGGAUGGACACCGCCUAGGAAGACCAGGCGCUGUAGGUG
rnacentral:rRNA from 1 species